AUUUCCGUGGCGUUGGUGGGUCUAGCGUUUGUCUGUCAUUGAUGACAGUUCCUUGUUUGCUCCCCUGUAGAGUGCUCGGCGCUUCGGCUAUCGGCGGUUCUCUUGUGUCUUCUACUGUUCUGCGUGCGCCUGCUUCCUCCCAAUUUGUUUUGAUGUUGUGCUCGUGUGCUCUUCUUGCCGGGGCUGUGCUUUGUGCUCCUUUUCUUGUAUCGUUUUGGUGUUCUUUGGGUCUAUCUCGUGAAUUCCUACAUGUGGCACCUAUAUGUGCUUCAUUGCUUCCUUGAUCGAUGUUGUUGAGUGGGAUUUCAUGUAUUCCUGACCGCUGUGUCUUGUUGUGUCUGUCUUUCACAUUCUGGAGCGGAUUGGUUGCGGUGUUUGGUCGGCGGUACGCUGGUGUUUUUUUUCGUCUUUUUAAGUAUUUGCUUUGCUGUGCUGAGGUCUCUUAGGUCGUCUGUUGCUGCUUCAUGGUCUC
rnacentral:lncRNA from 1 species